UACCAGCUCUCCGAGUGGUGUGGAUGUUUAUUGGGCCUAAAGCAUCCGUAGCUGGCUGGGCAAGUCCCUGUUAAAUCCACCGAUUUAAUCGUUGGUGUGCGGGGGAUACUGUUCGGCUAGGGGACGGGAGAGGCCGACGGUAUUUUCGGGGUAGGGGUGAAAUCCUAUAAUCCCGGGAAGACCACCAGUGGCGAAGGCUGUCGGCUAGAACGCGCCCGACGGUGAGGGAUGAAAGCUGGGGGAGCGAACCGGAUUAGAUACCCGGGUAGUCCCAGCUGUAAACGAUGCAGGCUAGGUGUUUGGGCGGCCACGUGCCGCUCUAGUGCCGCAGAGAAGUCGUUAAGCCUGCCGCCUGGGGAGUACGGCCGCAAGGCUGAAACUUAAAGGAAUUGGCGGGGGAGCACCACAAGGGGUGAAGCUUGCGGUUU
rnacentral:rRNA from 1 species